ensembl:lncRNA
AUCCUGGGGUCUUUGACCCCAACUCCAAGGAAGCAAUACAAGUGAACAUUCAGCUGCAAUCUAUGCAUUUUGUAUUGGCAUCAGCUCAGGAGGACUCCAUGCCACUUUUGAAUAACAACAGCAGAAGCACUGGCAAGUGUGAACUUUCAAAGAAGGUCCAUUCUUUCAGUAAAAUAAAAAUUACUAGUAGCGUACCUGGAGAUGUCAUUUUUGUCAAACCCAUUGUCUGGUUGUGAUGGUUAGAUGCAUCUUUCCUUUGGAUUGCCUAUCACCUUAGCACUGGGAAAUGCACAUUUUUUUCACGUAGCUUUGAAUGCAUUUGUGAACUGCAUCUGCCUUUCCCUGGGUGGGAGGCGGGAGCAUCUCACCAACACAUCACCACACACGCCACUCUUCUGUUUCCUUAGAUAGGUCGGUUGUUCCUGAUAGAAAUUUCCUUCCCUGCAUUUUAUAAUGUCUUCAUUCCUCUUCCAAGACUCCAGCUGCUGAGACUAUUCAUCUUUCCAGCUAGAACCAAUGGAUGCCUUUCCAAUGGUGUUCUGCAUAUCCCCUCCGUCUUUUUCAAUGUUUGUAUUCUGCACAAGUCUUGGCAACUACUACUGGAAUGUCAGAGAUGAGGAAUCUAAAGAUGCUGCAGUUCUGUUGGAGUUCUGCCUCAAGUCACACAGCAGAUGGUCAGGUAAGAACAAGUCCUUGGAAACAAGUUCUUGUUGGCCAUUCAUGAUUGAACACUUUGCUCCUCUAUGACCUGGCGCUGCACCUGUACUCUUGCUGCUUUAGUCCACCAUCCUGGACCAAAGCAUGAGUCUCAUCAGGGCCAAGAAUGGGGCAGGGUUGAGGAGUAGAGAGAUAGAGUCUGGAAGGGCCAAGUGCAAGGCUGGCUACUACUAAUGAUGCAAGUGACACAUAUGUAGGCUGUGCAUGAUUCCUCCACACAAAUUCUACAUAGUUUAUGGUGAUGUUUUGAUAGCUAUAAUCUUGGUUAUGAUAGUUCUCUAUACUUAAAAAAGAACUCAGAAUGUGUAUAAAAACAGAGGUUAGAGAUAAGAAUUUGUGGUCUAGGUACUACCUCCCCAUAUAUAAGUGUGUAUAUAUAUAUACAUAUAUAAAUUUUAUAUAUAGAUAUAUAAUUUUUCUUCCUUACCUGAAUUCAGAAAUCAUAUUUAUUUCCCCAUUUUAUAGAGAAGAAGGUUGAGGCUGAGAAGGAUGAAACAAUUGUCCCAAAGUCGUACCAUUUAUAAGUAGGUGUGCCAGGAUCAGCACCUAGCUUUGUAUGACUCCAAAACAUACAGAGUUCUCCUUGGGACAUGUUCCCCUCAAAGGAAUAGGUGUUAGUGAAUAUGGUUAAUUAAAUUGCCUUUUCACUCUCCAAGCAUUUAUUUUAGAUGCACCAACUUUAAUUUCCAUCCUCUGUGCAGUUACUAAUUGGGAGGAUUUCCACCUGUCUCAAUUGAAUUAAGCAGGACUGAGUCUCAAAAUCAAUGUUACUCUAUAAUCCCCAGAGCUUCAAGACUGUUUUUAGGGCAGCCAGGUAGAUAUUAGCCUAUGUGUGUCAGAGGGGCCAAAGAAGAUGAGCAAUUUUAAAGAAAAUAUAUUUAUGUGCAAUGGAACGAGGAAACAAGUCCUGAAAGCAGGACCCAGAGUCUUGUUCAUCUCCCCUAGCCCAGGUGCCCUUGCCUAUUCUUUAUCAAAAGGAGUUCACUGACUUGAGACAGUGGUACAGCUUGUCUGACAAGGUUAUAAUCACUGGAAUGAAGGAGUCGUUUGCUUCUCCAGUAGAUAAGAAACCCUCUUUGGAGGGGUUUGUUUCGAUGAAUUCUACUUCCAAAUAUUCCCUACUCAUAGUUCCCAGAAGAGGGAGGAGGGGAAGAAGUAAUGGGGGACCCAUACUCAUAUCCAUAAAAAUCCGCUAUGAAUACAGACUGGGCUCUCAGUCGUAACUGAGAUGUCUGCUUGGUCUAUCAGGUGUAUGAAUUUCUUUCUCUUCAUCUUUUCAAAGAAACUAUGCUUAAAUCAUCACCUCCUCAUCUGCUGUGUCGUCGGCUACAUUCUUUUUUUUUUUAUUUAUUUAUUUUAUUUGACAGAUAGAGGUAGACAGUGAGAGAGAGAGAGACAGAGAGAAAGGACUUCCUUCCGUUGGUUCACUCUCCAUAUGGCCCUACAGCUGGAGCUGUGCUGAUCUGAAGCCAGGAGUCAGGUGCUUCCUCCUGGUCUCCCAUGAGGGUGCAGGGCCCAAGCACUUGGGCCAUCCUCCACUGCCCUCCUGGGCCACAGCAGAGAGCUGGAAUGGAAGAGGAGGAACUGGGACUAGAACCUGGCGACCAUGUGGGAUGCCGGUGCAGCAGGCAAAGGAUUAACCUAAUGAGCCAUGGCAAGGGCCCUCUUUGGCUAUAUUCUUCAGCAUCCGUAGAGCAAGUUCCCAGACUUUGAAUCAGUAGCAAUACUGUCAUCAAUAGAACCUCAAACAUCAGGAAUUAUUGCUGUAGGGAAAACAGUAAUUAAUUGUGGGGGACACUGAAUCCAGCGAGGCCUAGAGGAACUUCCUGAGCCUGCCUGGAAUUUGAAAACCUGUCUUUUAAGUUUCAAAUCCCUGGUAGCAAACACCCCAACCGCAGGGCGCUUCUGCCUAAGGAUCCUUAAGGUGGUAUAAUAGGAGUGGCUAAGACCCUUUUGCAUCAUAACACCCCACCCCUUGCCCGAAUCAGCUCAUCAGCUCUAUACCAUCCUUUCUGUACCUCAGCUAUAUAUACACCUCCCUUUUACAAUAAAGUGAGACCCUGCUUCCA